rnacentral:tRNA from 1 species
UCUAUUGUGGCAGAUAAAGUGCGAUAGAUUUAAAAUCUAUAUAUGAGAUAUUGUUAUAUUUCCCUUAGAA